UGACUGUCCAAGGAGGGCAGGCGGAAGGGGUGGCUCCAGCCCAGCAGGGUCCUCGCCGCUCCCACGGGGGUCAGGGCCCGGCCACGGGGCAGCUCGAUCCACUCCACACGCCAGAGACAUUCGGUCCCCACAUAGAAAUCCAAGCCAGACUGUUCAAGAUGGACUCCGAGAACCAGAAGCCAAGAAUCGCGUGGGCUUGGCUCCCGGUUCCGUUUCCGUGCCUCCUUUGGCUUCAGAUCUUGGGGCACUCCCCCCUUCCUACCUCGGCUUCUGCUCAGCCACAUGAAGACACCCUGCAGCAGGGCCAACGGGGACGCGAAGAGAUGCAAGGCGCAGAAACUGCGCUCCCUGGGGCUCUACUCCCCUGGGCGGUGCCAACAGGCAGAGCAUAUCGUAACUGACCUUUAGUAGGAGCAGCAGUCUCUGUCCCUGAGCCUCAGACAGACGGUGGUCCCCAGAAUUGCUAACAACCAGAAGGAAGACAGAAGGUUACAUCCCAUCCCUCUCCCCCUUGCUGCAACUAAAUUGGAAUUCAGGGCACUGGCUGACCCUGGAGCCCCCAAAAUCCU